UUUUAAAUAUAUUUUAUAAUGAUUUAUUUUUCUUAAUUAUGAAAGAUGAGAAUAAUUUUUUUAUAAUUUUUAAAUUAGAAAAUAUUUUUUCUAUUAUUGCCAGGUCAUCUCAUUUUUAAUGUUUUUAGUUGUUUUCCAUAUAAAAUGAAAAGUGGAGUUUCCUUUGGAAAUAGAAAAUGGAAAACAGAAAACUGUUUUUUACUAGUAAGCAAACCUUAAACUCCUUUUGAGAGAGUUAUUGUUGCUUAGAUCAAUUGAUUAGGAAGCUCGCUCAAGGGAUCGUUAAUACGUUUAUUGGGAUGGAGGAGAGCCUGACAAUAUUUCUCCCACAUAAAAACUAUAAGAACCAUUCACCCAUUUUGUGGGAGGGGACAUUACAACGCUUGUCAGGGCACUCCCUUGAAUAUCAUAUUUAAAGUGCCAGUUGAUCCAUUUUUUUUUUUCUCACUGAUCUCCUUAAUGCCUCUAUUGGCCAAAUCCUAUCAUUGCUUCUGACCCUUUGCACAAGUCAUGCCUAGCUUAGUGGCAGAUCUCCACCUGGACCGGUGUACCUCAUUAUAUUUUCUCCUAGCUCCACUUAUUUUCCCAAUGUCUCCUUAUUCUCUUUAUUAGGAUUCUUAUACAGUAGACUAGGUUCCAUCAAUGUUUUCAUUUCAAAUACUGCUGUUCACAGUCAACACUACCGGUUAUAUUAAUUUCUUGUUUAUUUUUAAUUAUCCUUGUGUUUGCUACAUUCUUGUUUCUGGGUUCAUAGCCUGAUCUGUAGUCCUUAUUAUGCUUGUUACAUUGAAUUGCAAUUAUAGUUGAUGGCAGGUAAAUAUGUAUUAUUCUUCUUACUGGUGUUAUUAAGGCAAAAGUUUAUUCACAUGCACUUAGCAGAGAUUUAAAGUUAAUUUGUAUGAAAGGACUAGGUGAUAUGAGGUAUUAACUGAGUAUUAAAAAUAGAGUGACCAACUAAUUAAUAUUGGCAAUCCCUAGGGACUAAAUAAUUAUUUACCCUAUUUUUAAGAAAUUGUUCAUAAUCAUCUGGUUAAAUUCAAAUAAUCUGGUGGACAUAUCUGCACAUUUAUUUGAUGGGGUUUCUUACUUGAUAGAUGGAUGAUGGGAUGAAGUCUUCCUGUUAGAUAAUGAUUAGGUAUUUUGAAGACAAGUCCAUGCACUUGUUGUCAAAAUCUCACCACAUUCACUACUACCCUAGCAAGCUGCUGUCCUGUAUCACUGAUCCCAAUCACUAUUGUUCGGUUAUUAUUUGAGUCGGUUAAAAAUUUUGAUUAGUCAAAAUUUCAGUUUGGUUAACUGAAUGUACACACCCUAUUUGGGACAGAGAAUCUAAAAAGUGUUGGUUAGUGAAGAAACAAAUUCAUAAGAUUAGUGUGGUAGAAAUGGGAAUGUUAAAAUGGAUUGUAGAAAGGUGGUGAUUUUGUAGGAAGGUGGUGGAAGUGACACCUAUUGAGGAAAAGUUAUGAGCAGGGAGAUUGAAAUGAUUUGGAUAGCUACAUUGUGGAUCAACAAAGGAUGCAAGGCUGAGCACAUUGAAUGUUUAGGGAAUAAAAAAGCAUGAGGCUGGUCAAGGAUGACUUGGUGGGAAAUAACGAGAAAGGAUUGUGCAGCUUUAUCUGGACCACAUCAAGUGGGAUAGAGAAAAGGAAUCCAUAUAGUCAACUCUUUGGAAUUAAGAUUUAGUUGUGCUGAAUUGAGUAGCAGAAUUGAAAUAUCAAUAAAUUGCCCGGGAGUAGGCUUCAAAGAACAUAAUAGACUGCCCAUAAAAGGGGGGGAAAUUUCUGUUAUGUGUCUAUCCAUAUUUCAUUUUCUAUCUUAGCAAAGAGAACUAGAUGAUAAGGUGAGAAUUUUUAGACGACGUUAUGGCCGAGAUAUUUGAAUUUAAAAAAAAUAUAUUUUAUGAACCAUUGGCCCAUGAUUUUAUCAUAUUUGGAUUUUAGACACUUGUUAUUAUGACUCGAAUAUUAUGAAAUUGUUAUGAAUAUUUGCUGUUAUUUUAUUUUCUUAACAAAAUUUGUUUAUUUUGUGGCUGUACCAUUCUCACCUUAUUGAACCUUGUGCCUUACUAAAGUUUACAACUAUGAAUGUAAUCCAAUCCAAGAUGAUUGGCUGAGCAUUUUGAUGUUAUGAGGUAAUGACAUAAAACAACAGAUUCAAUCCAUCCGACGUUUUCCCACUAGUCAAAAUGAAAGGAAUAUUUUGAUAAGAAUCCAAUUAGAAAGAGGAUUUUGCUUUGGUUUCAGUGAAUAAUUUGGUUUUUCCACAGUACUGAAGACAUAAAUCCUUGUCUUGCAAUUGCUAGCUUUUAUUUUUUUAGUGAAAUGCAAUCGUAUAAAAAUUUGACAAUUUCACAGAUGUUGCAUCUGCAUAUAAGUCUUAACUUAUUUAUGGUCUAUUAAUGCAAUCUUCAAUGUCUCCUUUCCAGAUGCAGGAUGCUGUUGAUGAGAUA
rnacentral:misc_RNA from 1 species